rnacentral:lncRNA from 1 species
UAUAUGUUAUCGAUAGUUCCGCGCUCACACUCACGGCACUAACCACUAUAUAUAUAUAUAUAUAUAUACAUAUAUAUACUAUUUGGUUAGUGCCCCAAGGGUCCGGCCACCAAUCCCCACCCUUCAUUCUGCACAUGUUGCGGCAGGUCAGGUUCAUACGCCAAGCCCCGAAAGCAAAAUAAAAUCAUCAAAACGAAUUUUUGUUCCAUCGCACUUCAGAAAGUCAGCGCACCAACACAUACAUUACUUGCAGUGUCCGUGUGAAUCAAAACCGGUUUGGAGCGCUCAAAAAUCAUUGGUUACACGACUUAUGCAAAUGUAGCUGGAACUUCUGGCUGCGUGCUCUACACGCACUUAUACAAAUGUAGCUGAGACUUCUAGCUGCGUGUUCUACACGCACUAAUUCUUGUAGCUGCGACGUUGGCAGAGGCCUGGGACUUCGAGACGCACAUUCAGCGGUGACGUUUCGCUUGGCUCAAAUUAACAAUCUACUAUACUAUUUGGUUAGUGUUAGUGCUCACGGUGACCAUUUAAGGUAUAUUAAAUACUUUUCCGGAUAUUUUUUUAGGAUACAUUUAAGAAUAUUUUUUCAGGAUACAUUCCGGUUGACAAGCAACAAAUUGUCAAAUUGUUC